AGAGUUUGAUCCUGGCUCAGGACGAACGCUGGCGGCGCGCCUAACACAUGCAAGUCGAACGGAGCUGAGAGGAGCUUGCUUUUCUCAGCUUAGUGGCGAACGGGUGAGUAACGCGUGAGUAACCUGCCCUGGAGUGGGGGACAACAGUUGGAAACGACUGCUAAUACCGCAUAAGCCCACGGCCCGGCAUCGGGCUGCGGGAAAAGGAUUUAUUCGCUUCAGGAUGGACUCGCGUCCAAUUAGCUAGUUGGUGAGGUAACGGCCCACCAAGGCGACGAUUGGUAGCCGGACUGAGAGGUUGAACGGCCACAUUGGGACUGAGACACGGCCCAGACUCCUACGGGAGGCAGCAGUGGGGGAUAUUGCACAAUGGGGGAAACCCUGAUGCAACGACGCCGCGUGGAGGAAGAAGGUUUUCGGAUUGUAAACUCCUGUCGUUAGGGACGAUAAUGACGGUACCUAACAAGAAAGCACCGGCUAACUACGUGCCAGCAGCCGCGGUAAAACGUAGGGUGCAAGCGUUGUCCGGAAUUACUGGGUGUAAAGGGAGCGCAGGCGGACCGGCAAGUUGGAAGUGAAAACUAUGGGCUCAACCCAUAAAUUGCUUUCAAAACUGCUGGCCUUGAGUAGUGCAGAGGUAGGUGGAAUUCCCGGUGUAGCGGUGGAAUGCGUAGAUAUCGGGAGGAACACCAGUGGCGAAGGCGACCUACUGGGCACCAACUGACGCUGAGGCUCGAAAGCAUGGGUAGCAAACAGGAUUAGAUACCCUGGUAGUCCAUGCCGUAAACGAUGAUUACUAGGUGUUGGAGGAUUGACCCCUUCAGUGCCGCAGUUAACACAAUAAGUAAUCCACCUGGGGAGUACGACCGCAAGGUUGAAACUCAAAGGAAUUGACGGGGGCCCGCACAAGCAGUGGAGUAUGUGGUUUAAUUCGAAGCAACGCGAAGAACCUUACCAGGUCUUGACAUCCCUCUGACCGGGACUUAACCGUCCCUUUCCUUCGGGACAGGGGAGACAGGUGGUGCAUGGUUGUCGUCAGCUCGUGUCGUGAGAUGUUGGGUUAAGUCCCGCAACGAGCGCAACCCCUAUCCUUAGUAGCCAGCACGUAAUGGUGGGCACUCUGAGGAGACUGCCAGGGAUAACCUGGAGGAAGGCGGGGAUGACGUCAAAUCAUCAUGCCCCUUAUGAUUUGGGCUACACACGUGCUACAAUGGCGUAAACAAAGGGAAGCGAACCUGUGAGGGUGGGCAAAUCUCAAAAAUAACGUCCCAGUUCGGACUGCAGUCUGCAACUCGACUGCACGAAGCUGGAAUCGCUAGUAAUCGCGGAUCAGAAUGCCGCGGUGAAUACGUUCCCGGGUCUUGCACACACCGCCCGUCA
rnacentral:rRNA from 1 species